rnacentral:rRNA from 16 species
CCGGGAGGGGAGUGAAAUAGAACAUGAAACCAUAAACUUACAAGCAGUAGGAGAACGACUUAACGUUUGACUUCGUGCCUGUUGAAGAAUGAGCCGGCGACUUAUAGUUAGUGGCAGGUUAAGGCAGAGAAUGCUGGAGCCACAGUGAAAGCGAGCCUGAAUAGGGCGUUUGUCACUAGUUAUAGACCCGAACCCGGAUGAUCUAACCAUGGCCAGGUUGAAGCUUAGGUAAUACUAAGUGGAGGACCGAACCGACUGAUGUUGAAAAAUCAGCGGAUGAGUUGUGGUUAGGGGUGAAAUGCCAAUCGAAUUCGGAGCUAGCUGGUUCUCCCCGAAAUGCG